rnacentral:rRNA from 1 species
UGGGGAAUUUUGGACAAUGGGCGAAAGCCUGAUCCAGCAAUGCCGCGUGUGUGAAGAAGGCCUUCGGGUUGUAAAGCACUUUUGUCCGGAAAGAAAUCCUUGGCUCUAAUACAGUCGGGGGAUGACGGUACCGGAAGAAUAAGCACCGGCUAACUACGUGCCAGCAGCCGCGGUAAUACGUAGGGUGCAAGCGUUAAUCGGAAUUACUGGGCGUAAAGCGUGCGCAGGCGGUUUGCUAAGACCGAUGUGAAAUCCCCGGGCUCAACCUGGGAACUGCAUUGGUGACUGGCAGGCUAGAGUAUGGCAGAGGGGGGUAGAAUUCCACGUGUAGCAGUGAAAUGCAUAGAGAUGUGGAGGAAUACCGAUGGCGAAGGCAGCCCCCUGGGCCAAUACUGACGCUCAUGCACGAAAGCGUGGGGAGCAAACAGGAUUAGAUACCCUGGUAGUCCACGCCCUAAAACGAUGUCAACUAGUUGUUGGGGAUUCAUUUCCUUAGUAACGUAGCUAACGCGUGAAGUUGACCGCCUGGGGAGUACGGUCGCAAGAUUAAAACUUAAAUGAAUUGACGGGGUCAUAGCUGUUUCCU